GCCUGACAGGCGCCGCCUGCCCGCUGCUGCCAGCCCCCGAGCCAGGCCCUUCCUCGGGCACGGCCGGGAGGGCUUGGCCGGGCAGAGGCGCAGCCAGGGGUGGAUCUAGGCUUUGGAAAAGGGGGGUGCAGAGGAGCUGCCCAUAACACAGCACAGGCUUGUCUCCACUUCAGCAGAAGCUAGAAGCUUUACUGACUGGGCAGCAGGGUACAGUCCAGUUUGAGAUGGAAGCACAAGCCAAAUGCACAUAAGAGCUGCCAUUUGCUGGGUCAGGCCAUAAAUCCGCCUUGCCCAUUUUCCAUUCUGCAGAGGGGCAGCAUCACAUAAGACUGAAAUCAAGACAAGUCAUGGCAAGCAGGGAUUUAAGGUCCUGGCUAAGGCCAAGUAGGUCUUCCUGUAAGCUGUGCGCACCCUCAACUUUGCAAGGGCAAUUAUACUGAGUGGCUGUCCACAGUGAUGAGCUGAACAAGAUGCUGAGGGGAGUCACCAUUGCUCGAGGUGGGGUCCUGUCCGACAUCCAGGUGAUGCUGCUGCCGAAGAAACCUGAGAGCCACAAAGCCAAGAACAAGCAUUUGAUAAAAAGAUAGAGUUUUCAUCUUUGACAGUUUUCUCUUCUUCACCUGCUGAAUCAUGUUUAGCUCCACCAGAUGUUCAAUGAACUAUAUUAUUAAGUCUUGUCAGCAGUGAUCUUGAUAUCUUUAGAAAACCACUUUUGUUGCUUGCAACAGUUUAAAAGUGGCUAAUUGAAUGUGUCAUUCAACUUUAAAAAUCAAAAUAAAAAAU